GAGAGGGGUGCUGGAAAGAGAAAACCGCUGUGGUGUUCACUGGAUUUUAUAGACACGCUUGAGGAAGUGGUGUCUGAUUUACGUAGGGCCCACAGAUUGGUUGGAUCAGGUGUGAAAUUUACAUAGCGCUUGGGGAAGGCUGGCCACCCCACCGUAAUCUUAUUAUGCAAAUGGACUUUCCACUUGGGCGGCGCCAUGUUGUCUGCUCCUUACUAUCCACGUGGCUGGCAAAGAGAAGGGAGCAUGAAGCUGUCAUUUUGAACAUGCCUAGUCCCAGAGAUGCAUGCGGGGAGAACUCUAUGUGAAGGUGAAGGCAGAGAUGCUUCAUUAAGCCAAGGAAUGCCAAAGGUGGCCAGCAAACCACCAGAAACCAGGCAAGAUGCAUGGAACAGAUUCUGUCUCGUAGCUCUCAGAAGGAACCAACCCUGCCAUCGCACAUUGAUUUUGGACUUCUGGCUUCCAGAACUGUGUGGGUUUGUCAUCCAGCGAGGAGAUGAGGAGAAAGUGCUGGGCCACUCCACUGGAGAAAUUGGAGACCUUUCUUCUGGCUGUGUCUAGGGAGCCAAGAGAGUGAGAGAAAACUCUUUGAGGAAUUGGAAAUGGAAGAAAAUAAUUCUAAAAUUUGUAUGGAACCACAAAGACUGCUAAUAGCCAAAGCUAGUUUGAACAAGAAGAACAAAUCUGGAGGCCUCACACUUUCUGAUUUCAAAAUAUAUUACAAAGCUACAGUAGUAGCAUAAAAACAGAUGCAUAAACCAAUGGGUAGAAUAGACAGCCCAGAAAUAAGCCCACUUACAUGUGGUCAGCUAAGUUUUAACAAGGGUGCUAAGAAUACAUAAUAGGCAAAUGAUAGUCUCUUCAAUCAAGUAUGGAGAAAAUUGGAUAUCUACAUGCAAAAUGAUGAAACUGGACCAUUUUCUUGCACCAAAAAAUCAACUAAAAUGGGCUAAAGGCUUAAUUGUAAGACCUGCAAUCAUAAAACUCCUAGAAAAAAGCAUAAGGGAAAAGCUUCUUGAUAUUGGCCUUGGCUAUAAUUUUAUGAAUGUGACACUAAAAGCACAGAGAACAAAGGCAAAAUAGAAGACAGGGACUACAGCAAACUAAAAAGCUUCUGCACAGCAAAGGAAACAGUCAAGAAAAUGAAAAAGCAUCUAAUGGAAUGGGAGACAAUAUCGGCAAACCAUACAACUGAUAAAGGGUUAGUAUUAAAAAUACAUAAAGAACGCCGACAGCUCAAUAGCAAAAACCAAAUCAAACCAAACCAAGCAAGCAACCAAUCAAACCAAAAGCCCCAAAUAACCCUUGGGCAAAGGAACUGAAUAGACACUUUUCCAAAGAAGAUAUAUAAGUGGCCAACAGGCGUAUGAAAGUGUUCCACAUCUCUCAUCAUCAGGAAAAUUCAAAUCAAGACCAUAAUGAGAUAUUGCCUCAUCCCUGUUAGAAUGGCUAUUACAAAAAAACCCGGAAGAUAGGUGUUGGCAAAGAUUUGGGGAAAAGGAAAUUCAUAUACACUGUCGGUGGGAAUUGGUGCAGCCACCAUGAAAAACAGUAUGGAGGUUCCUCAAAAAAUUAAAAGUAGAACUAUCAUAUAUAUGAUCUGGCAGUCCCUCUCCUGAGUAUGUAUUCAGAGGAAUUGAAACAAGGAUCUUGAAGAGAUAUCUGCCCUCCCACGGUAAUUGCAGCAUUACCUCAAUAGCCAAGACACAGAAGCAACCUAAAUGUCCAUGGAUGGAUGAAUGGAUGAAUAAAAUGUGGUCUGUAUGUACAAUAAAAUAUUAUUCAGUCUUAAAAAGGAUGAAAAUCCUGCUAUUUGUGCCAGUAUAAAUGAACCUAAACUGAAGGGCACUAUGCUAAGUGAAGCAAACCAGAUAGAAGGACAAAAGCCAUAGGAUCCCACUUAUAGGAGGAAUUGAAAAUAAUGCAAUUUGUAGAAGCUGAGAGUAGAAUGGUGGUUGCCAAGGGCUGGUUUGGGGUGGGGGUGGGAAGACGGGGAGAUAUUAGUCAAAGGGUGUAAAGUUUCAGUUAUGCAGGAUGAAUAUGCUCUAGAGAUCUACCAAACAGCAUAUUGCUUGUAGUAAAUACUGUGUUGUAUACUUCAUAAUUUGCUAAGUAGGUAGAUCAUAUGUUAAGUGUUCUCUCUGUCUGUCUGUUUCUCUCUCUCUCUCUCACACACACACACAUACACACACACGCACACAAACACACACAAUGACAAAAUGUGUGGAAGGAAACUUUUGGAAGUGAUGUGUAUGUUUCUGGCACAGAUUGUGGUGAUGGUUUAAGGGGUAUAUACUUACUUCUAUAGUCAUCAAUAUGUAUUCAUUACAUACAUAUACCUUUGUGUAUAUCAAUAAUACCUCAAUAAAGUGGCUUAAAAUUGGAG
rnacentral:lncRNA from 10 species